UACGUAGGGGUGCGAGCGUUGUCCGGAAUUACUGGGCGUAAAGAGCUCGUAGGUGGUUUGCUCGCGUUGUUCGUGAAAACCGGGGGCUUAACCCUCGGCGUGCGGGCGGAGUACGGGCAGACGUUGAGUACUGCAGGGAGGACGUGGAAUUCCUGGUGUAGCGGUGGAAUGCGCAGAUAUCAGGAGGAACACCGGUGGCGAAGGCGGGUCUCUGGGCAGUAACUGACGCUG
rnacentral:rRNA from 1 species